GUUAGGGUAGGGUUAGGGUUGGUUUAGGGUUAGGGGCAGGGUUAGGGGCAGGGUUAGGGUAGCGUUAAGGUAAGGUUAGGGGUGGGUUAAGGUAGCGGUAGUGUAACCCUAACCCUAUUCCUAACCCUACUCCUACUCCUAACCCUAACUAUGCUCCCAACCCUACCCCCAACCCUACCAUAACCCUACCCUGACUCUUCCUCUAACCCUACCCCUAACCUUCCCUUAACCCAACCCCAACCCUACCCUAACCCUAACCUAAUGCUACCCCUAAC